UACAGAGGGUGCAAACGUUGUUCGGAAUUACUGGGCGUAAAGCGCGUGCAGGCGGCCUUGCAAGUCGGACGUGAAAUCCCACGGCUCAACCGUGGAAGUGCAUUCGAAACUGCGAGGCUGGAGUCCUGGAGAGGAAAGUGGAAUACUCGGUGUAGAGGUGAAAUUCGUAGAUAUUGGGAAGAACACCGAUGGCGAAGGCAGCCAUCUGGACCGACACUGACGCUGAGGCGCGAAAGCGUGGGGAGCAAACAGG
rnacentral:rRNA from 1 species